GAGAUUUCUUAAUUUGUUUUGAGAAUAAUGAAAUGGCUUGACAUUACAGUAAAAGAAAUUUCUCAUGUGUUUACAGUGUGAAAUCAAAGUUGCACAACCCAAAGAGGUAUACAGGCAGCAACAGCAGCAACAAAAAGGAGGAAGAGGUGCUGCAGCUGGUGGACGAGGUGGCACUAGGGGUCGUGGACGAGGUGAGGCUUUAUUCUUUGAAAAUGACUCCAUGGUUUAAGCUGUAAACUGCUCACUAGAAAUAAGCCCAGGAGAAAAUAAAGCAGAUUUUCAGCAUAAAAUGCUCAAGUUAAUGAGUGGGUAUUUGUUAGUUCACUGGUUUCGCGUCUUCCGAUAAUGGCCACUUUUAAUGGGAAAGUAAUAGCAGUUUAAUGUAGUUAGGAUUACGUGAUAACACCAUGGCAUGCUAGGUUUUGGGGGCGGGAGACCUUGUUUUAAAACCAAACAGCCUACCUGUCUUCACCUUUGUUCUGAUUUUUCGGUUACAUUGAGGAAGCUUGGUAAUUGGUGCAGUUGGACUUUCUGUCCCCUUUUAUGACAACUGGAGUAAUUUUCUCAGUCAGAUAAUUAUAUAGAUGUCCGUUCACCUGUUUCAGAUUUUCAGCGUGAGGGACAGGAAUACAACAUUUUGUGGUAGGAUUGGGGGUCAGAAGUUGUUAUCUAACAAUCAUUGUGCAUUGUUUCAGGUCAGGGCCAAAACUGGAACCAAGGAUUUAAUAACUAUUAUGAUCAAGGAUAUGGAAAUUACAAUAGUGCCUAUGGUGGUGAUCAAAACUAUAGUGGCUAUGGCGGCUAUGAUUAUACUGGGUAUAACUAUGGGAACUAUGGAUAUGGACAGGGAUAUGCAGACUACAGUGGCCAGCAGAGCACUUACGGCAAGGCAUCUCGAGGGGGUGGCAAUCACCAAAACAAUUACCAGCCAUACUAAAGGAGGACAUUGGAGAAAACAGCGGGAACUUCAUUGCAGGCCGUGUGUCACCCUGACCACGUCUAUCUCUGGGGGUCGCACGUUGCGGGCAGAGCGCAAGGCAUACACCAGAAAACGCUGUCCUGUGGAGGAAAUUGCUAAAGUUAACCCAUCUUGCAGGACGACAUUGAAGAUUGGUCUUCUGUUGAUCUAAGAUGAUUAUUUUGUAAAAGACUUUCUAGUGUACAAGACACAACUGUGUCCAACUGUAUAUAGCCGCCAAUUAGUUUUCUUUGUUUUUACUUUGUCUUUUGCUAUCUGUGUUAUGACUCGAUGUGGAUUUGUGUUUAUACAAAUUUUAUUUGUAUGAUUUCAUGUUAAACCUCAAAUAAAUGCUUCCUUAUGUGAUUGUUUUUCUGCGUC
rnacentral:lncRNA from 1 species